AGUAAAAUGGCUGAGGAUAAAAGCGAUAAAUUGUAAAUUUAUAAACGAGAAAAUCUCUUUUACU
rnacentral:tRNA from 1 species